AGAAGUAAGCUAGAGAGGUUUGCCUCAGACACAGGUUCUGGAGUGAUGCUUCACUUCCUUGACUGAAUGAAAUGAGCAUUCAUUUGAGUUUAUGAGUGAGUGAAAACACUCAUAAACUUUAAAUCAGAAUAAGGAAUUUCUUAAGUUUUCAAAAUAUUUGAAGGGUAUUUUUAAUUAUGAAUUUUAUCUUCCACUUUUACUUAUUUUCCUUGAUCAACAUUAGACUCUAUUAAAGUCUUUGAACAUUGAGAGCUAAGGAGUUAUCUCCAUAAAUAGAGUGCUUGCCAUAUAAUCCUGGCUGCUUGUAUUUGGAUGCCCAGUUUUUACCCAAAGCCAGGUGACAUGGAACUUGCACGAAAUCCUAGAGCAUUUGAGAAAGAUGUCUGAUAUCAACUUCUGACCUCCAUACCUCUGCAUAUAGCUGCAUGUACACAUGCAUACACAUGAAUAUGUAUACAUAUCUCUCUGGGUAUUAAACUAAUUCUGAAUAUGGAUAACAUAUGUAUAAAUAAAUGAUUUCCAUUCUAUAGAUAAAUUUAUCCUAUAUAUAAAAUAAUAAAGAAGAGGAACUAAUAGACAUUCCUCAGAGACAUCCUUUGAUAACCAAAUCCAAGCCUUUGACUGAAAAAUUUCCUCAUUGGUUUAGAUUGAGUGAAUGAACUAAUUACUUUGUAAUUUGUUCUGCUGGGAAGUUCCACUGAUGUAAAGAGCAAAGAGAAAUGCUACUAACCUUGCUGCCAAGAAAAAGACAAAGGAACAUAAGAGGCAUCUAAUUUUUUCUUCUAUUUUCAACACUUUUUCUUGAGGUAUUUGAAAACUCUCUUUUAACAGGUAUAGUAGAAAUGACUUCUCAAUUCAUCAAACUACUGUAAUAGUGGACCCCACUGAAAUGGAAAUUGCCCCCAAAGUUCUUAGACUUGGGAGAAGGAAAAGCUGCAGCCAGAAAGGCGACUUGCCUCUCAGAAAGAGCUUUCCAAUAGUAUUAACCACCUGUCAGAGCACCUGACAGGCUAAGACUGAAGUCCAGGCAAGGAUGGGUCAGUAUUGGACAAGACCACAAUUUAAACAGGACUGCUUGGAUCUGCAUCUUCUUGCUCCUAUAUUUAAAUGUUAAUCUCACCUCAGGACCUGAAGAUUGACUUGGGGAAGAAGCUGAAAUUCUUUGUCCCUCUUCCCAGUAUGGUCUUAUUGAAUAAAAUAUCCGCUUUACCCUCUUAAUUGGUUCUUUUCAUUUGUUUAUAGACCAGUUGGCUGGAUCUGAUAUAGGGUGCAGGGUGUAACCCCCAACUUAAGCAACAACCUAAGAUUACCUUUUGUUGGUAUGUUUC
rnacentral:lncRNA from 1 species